UACGUAGGGUGCAAGCGUUGUCCGGAAUUAUUGGGCGUAAAGAGCUUGUAGGCGGUUUGUCGCGUCUGCUGUGAAAUUUCGGGGCUCAACCCCGAACUUGCAGUGGGUACGGGCAGACUAGAGUGUGGUAGGGGAGACUGGAAUUCCUGGUGUAGCGGUGAAAUGCGCAGAUAUCAGGAGGAACACCGAUGGCGAAGGCAGGUCUCUGGGCGUUAACUGACGCUGAGGAGCGAAAGCAUGGGGAGCGAACAGG
rnacentral:rRNA from 1 species